rnacentral:rRNA from 1 species
UUGACCUCGGAUCAGGUAGGGAUACCCGCUGAACUUAAGCAUAUCAAUAAGCGGAGGAAAAGAAACCAACAGGGAUUGCCCCAGUAACGGCGAGUGAAGCGGCAAGAGCUCAAAUUUGAAAGCUGGCCCCCUCGGG